ACUCUUUCUCUACACGACGCUCUUCAGAUGUUUAACCAACUGAGCCACCUAGGCACCCUUGGGCUAUUUUCAAUUUUAGCACUUUUGGGAAACACCAACAUCCAUGCAGCUUUAUAACACAAAGGUACUGGUACCU